AGAGUUUGAUCAUGGCUCAGAACGAACGCUGGCGGCGUGCCUAAGACAUGCAAGUCGUACGGUAAGGCCCCUUCGGGGGUACACGAGUGGCGCACGGGUGAGUAACGCGUGGGUAAUCUGCCCUCUGGUCUGGGACAACCCCGGGAAACUGGGGCUAAUACCGGAUGAGCCCACGAGGUCUCCGGACCUCGCGGGAAAAGAUGGCCUCUCCUUGGAAGCUAUCGCCUGAGGAUGAGCCCGCGUCCCAUUAGCUAGUUGGUGAGGUAACGGCUCACCAAGGCAUCGAUGGGUAGCUGGUCUGAGAGGAUGGUCAGCCACACUGGAACUGAGACACGGUCCAGACUCCUACGGGAGGCAGCAGUCGGGAAUCUUGGGCAAUGGGGGCAACCCUGACCCAGCAACGCCGCGUGAGGGAUGAAGGCCUUCGGGUCGUAAACCUCUGUCGGGAGGGACGAAUGUCGGGCGGGUGAACAAUCCGUCCGGUUGACGGUACCUCCAAAGGAAGCACCGGCUAACUCCGUGCCAGCAGCCGCGGUAAUACGGAGGGUGCAAGCGUUGUUCGGAAUCAUUGGGCGUAAAGCGCGUGUAGGCGGCUUGGUAAGUCGGAUGUGAAAUCCCGGGGCCCAACCCCGGAACUGCAUUCGAUACUGCCUCGCUGGAGUCCCGGAGAGGAGAGCGGAAUUCCCGGUGUAGAGGUGAAAUUCGUAGAUAUCGGGAGGAACACCAGUGGCGAAGGCGGCUCUCUGGACGGUGACUGACGCUGAGACGCGAAAGCGUGGGGAGCAAACAGGAUUAGAUACCCUAGUAGUCC
rnacentral:rRNA from 1 species